UACGAAGGGGGCUAGCGUUGUUCGGAAUUACUGGGCGUAAAGCGUGCGCAGGCGGCUUCUCAAGUCAGGGUGAAAGCCCAGAGCUCAACUCUGGAACUGCCUUUGAGACUGAGAGGCUUGAGUACGGGAGAGGUGAGUGGAACUGCGAGUGUAGAGGUGAAAUUCGUAGAUAUUCGCAAGAACACCAGUGGCGAAGGCGGUUCACUGGCCCGGUACUGACGCUGAGGUGCGAAAGCGUGGGGAGCAAACAGG
rnacentral:rRNA from 1 species